UACGGGGGGGGCAAGCGUUGUUCGGAAUUACUGGGCGUAAAGGGCUCGUAGGCGGCCAACUAAGUCAGACGUGAAAUCCCUGGGCUCAACCCAGGAACUGCAUCGGAAACUGGCGGACUUGAGUUCGGGAGAGGGUCGCGGAAUUCCUGGUGUAGAGGUGAAAUUCGUAGAUAUCAGGAGGAACACCGGUGGCGAAGGCGGCGACCUGGACCGAUACUGACGCUGAGACGCGAAAGCGUGGGGAGCAAACAGG
rnacentral:rRNA from 1 species